ACCAUCUUAGUUCAAUUGGUAAAACGCAUUACUUUUAAUCAUGUGGUCGUGGGUUCGAUUCACACAGAUGUUA